CCCAGCCGCGCAGUGCAGUGCUGGGGCCGCGGCCCGGGAGCCCUCAAGCAAGACCUCAGGUCACUCCUAUCUUUGAAGUGAGGUUUUUCCUGUCCCCUGCCCCUGAGCCCCGGGGGCCCGGACCCUCCCUGACCGCGGAGUGACGCGUCACCCGAAUCCGGGGUCUCCUGGCUCUACCAGCGCGGCCGCUUGCGCUCCGGAGUGUGGGCGCCCUCCCUCCCGAGCCUCACCAAAGCCGGCGUGGCGCUUCUCCAAAGGCAGCUCUACCUCACUUCACAGUCCCUGGGUAUUUAAAAGUCACCGUGGUGACCCAUGCCCUGAUCUGGAUUCCUUCCAUUCUGUCAGGAAUUGACUGUGCUAGCGACGCUCAGUCGUUCAACAGACACUGACUGGCUUCGCGCUGGGCUCGGGGUCUGUCCCAGGCUGUACUACGCGCCCAAACCUCCGAAGCCCCCAUCGCUGCCGCACCGGCGGGUUACUGAGCCCGCGCUGCCAGAGGGACGCCCGAAGAUUGCCGCGAGUGAGAGACGCGUUCGGGCCCCUGCCAGGAGGUCCAGGUCCUGGAAGAACGCCUGGGAGUUGAAAGGUUCCCGUCCAGGCCAGGGCUUCAUAGAGCGUUUGCAUCUAUCAGGCGCAGGGCCCGGAAUCUCCCUAAGACGGACUGCCUCAGCCUCAACAACGGGGCUGUGAAAAUACAUUGUCAGUUUUAGCCGCAACAGGGAAGUCACUCGAUCGAAAUAACGCGUUUGUGGAGCUACAUUGGUGAUUCCUAAAACCCUGGAAGCCUUUCUCAGGACGGUGGAUUAAGAGUGUUCUCACCGUGUGAAUUUGCUCAGUAGAAAUGGAGGGCUCCUUUGCUGAUCUGCCCGCCCCAGCAAAAAACAAAAACAAUAACCUUUAAGAAGGGAACUUGGAAGAUAGAAGAGUUGAUUUCUCUGAUGAUCGAGUUUCUCUUUUAAAGGGAUUUUAUUAUCCACUAACUGGCUAAAGUGGAAGAACGUUUGUGUUUUGUUCCUAUUUUGUUUAGAUUCAAUUUUAUUUACCUGUGCUUGAUUAGCGUUGGCAUGGUACAGAAUUCCAAAAGUGUGGAUGGAUACACAGUUAACAAGACUCCCUUCCGUCCUUGCUCCCAGCCUCUCAGUUCCUCUCCCUGGGGGCACCAUUGCCGUCAUGUCCUGUUUACCCCAGAGGAAAUCUAAUCAACCAAAUGUAUUUGUCCAAUGUUCUUAUUUUUACCUUUUGUUAUACAAAACGGUAGGUCUAACUUCAGGCACAGGCCACCAGAGUAAAGGGUUAAAUGCAGAAUGUGAAGGGAUUACUCUCCACAUGGGGCCCAGUAGUGGCAGCAUCAGGACAAGAAUGGGGGCUUCAAAGGUUAUUUGAUACCAGGCUGGCGUUUGCAAAACUGACCUAACAUAUAAAUUUGCCUCUUUACAGACUCUUUCAGAAUCAAGAUCUUUAACAUCUUACGUAAGUGAUAAACAUUUCAAAAGAAAAACAAAUACAUACAGAAGAGUUUGUUGAGUUGGGCAAUGUUACAAAUAAGACAGGAAGAAAAUACAGAUGGAAAUCCUGAGAUGUUAUGAACAAGAAAGAGCCCCAGUUCCCUAUUUGUCAUCUUGUAGGUCAGAAACAGACACAACUUCCAUUCUUCACCUGAGCUAUUACUGAUUUUUUUUUUUUUUUAACAUUCUCCAUGAAAGGUGUGGCAUUUGAAGAUGAGUUGGGUAACAAUGAGCCUGCAAGAUGACCUAAUGUGCUACCCCCUUGAUUACUCCAUCCUGAGCUGUCUGUCAUUCAGCAAAAUUUUACUGAAUAACCAUCUCUUCUUUUGCUUCUCAUGACUCACAGGCAGUGUUUGUUUUUCCCUUUUCUGCAUGAUCUUGACCACUGUGAAAGUUUUAAUGGAUUCUCCCUUUAUCAAGAAGAGCUCAUUGACUUUUGUGCACCAAGCAUAUGUAUCUCAUCUUCUUUUAAAACAUGAAUCAGACAGUCCAUUUCUUAGCCAGAAGAUUGAUGAGUUUAUCCUGGCAAGAAAAGGACAUGUCUCAGGAGGAUUCUGGGUAGAAUUAAAAGAGCAUUAAUCACAAGACUGGGGUACCAGUAUGACCUUACUGCUUCCUGUCUUUGUGACCUUGGACAAGUUACUUAACUUUGCUGAAUCCUAGAUUCCCUAAAUAUAAAAUGUGGCAUAAUCCUCUCCACUGCCCUGCAAGAUUGUUAUUAAUUGAUACAAUGUAUGUGAAAUUGCUUGGCACAUAAUGAGAUUUAGCAUGUUAGCUAUCUAAAAAUGAUCAUUUUAGUCUGGAAAAAAAAUGAGUUUAUAAAGGAAGUUUGUAUACCAUUUUGUGGCAUGUGCUGGCAUAGAAGUGAUGAAACCUUCGCCCAUUACUUCCCUAUCAGCCAAAACAUAAUAUCUGAUUUUCCAGAAAAAUGUAUCUCUACCUCUCCCAUUUCAACUUAGUGUUUGUUAUGUAGUAUCAGUUAUUUGGGUGUAUCUCCAGUCUCCCUAAUUAGACUGGAAAUGCCUUGAAGUUGGAACUAUGUCACAUCUUUGAUUCCUAUGGGCACCUCGAACAUUAUUUUGAUAAAUUGUAGAUAUCCAACGAUUAUUUGUUAAAUGAAAAGUAAGUGGGUGAAAAGAAAAUUUGUUAAAUUGGACCUCAUCAAAAAAAUUUUUUAAACCCAUUUGUUCUGUAAAAGACCCUAUUAAGAGGAUGAAAAGACAAUGGUACACUGGGAAAAAUAUUUUCAAAUAACAUAUCUGACAAAGGACUUAUAUCUGGAAUAUAUAAAGAACUCUCAAUAUUCAAUAGUAAAAACUCCCAGUCUAAUUAGAAAAUGAGCAAAUGAUAUGAAGAGAUAUUUCACCAAAGAGUGUAUACAGCUGACAAAUAAGCACAUGAAAAGGUGCUCAACAUCAUUAGCCAAGGGAAAUGUAAAUUAAAACUAUAAUGAGAUAUCACUACGUACUAUUAGAAUGGGUUAAGAUAAAAAAUUGUGAUGACACCAAAUCCUGAUGAGGAGACAGAGAAAUUGUGAUACGUAUGGAUUGCUGGUGGGAAUGUAAAAUGGUGCAACCACUCAGGAAAACAAUGUGGCUAUUUCUUUUAAAACUAAAAUUGAACCUACCACACAACCCAUAAAUUUCACCUUAGUUAUUUGUCCUGGAGAAAUGAAAACUUGCAUUCACACAAAUCUUUUACAAACUGAGCCACAAAGGACCAGUCCUCAACAGCUCCACCCAGCACAAGAUAGCAAAAGAGCAGAGGACCAUGACACACAUCCAGUCUGCUUGCUGUACAAAGAAAUGGGAUGGAGCUCACUGGACUAAGUGAACAGUCAUGGUUUUGGACAAGUCAAGGGGAAGUGGGAGUCUUCAAAAUGGAAAUCCUGGACAUUCUGCUCUUCAGCAGUGGAUUACCUGGAAAAACAAAAGACAUGUGACCAUACAUGUUAUCUUAUAUUGAUGAAAUAGAUCAUACUGGACUAAACAGAACUAAAAAUAGAAACGCAUAGAAAAGAAUUCAUUGUUUCUGCUCAUUAGGAACUCUGGAAGGAGACAGCACCACAUGGCUGCCAUCUGGCAACACAGAGCAGCUGCUGCCAAAUAGGAGUGGAACCAUGUCAGAUUUAAGAUGCUGACACAACAAAUUCUGAUUCUAAGUGGCUUGGCCGGAUUCCUAUCUAUAGAUCAAGCAAGAUUUUCUGGUAAAUAAAAU